AAAAGGCAAGUCUGUAAAUAUUUGUCUUCUGGUUACUUUUUGUCCAAUAAUACAUUAUCCUGAUUAUUAUCUUAAACACAGUUAUUUCCAUUGCGCAGUGAGAAGAUAUCUGAGUUUGCUAGCCAGUUGGCACUUGAGUUGGGCAAAACAUGUGGAGUUGGUUUAUUGCCCACGGUGGCAAUGUCUGCCGGAGCUUUGAUUAUCCUGAACAAGAAGCCUGCAAUAAUGAGGUUUGUAAACAUGGCGUGGAGCCCACAGGGAGGAGGUUCUCUUCUCACCAGGCGUGAUUCUGUGAUGUGCAUCACAAUCCCUACCUCGUCUAGCUGCAUGGUCGGGGUAAAAAAUGAAUUUGUGGAGUCCUCCACA